rnacentral:rRNA from 1 species
GAUGAACGCUAGCGACAGGCUUAACACAUGCAAGUCGAGGGGCAGCAUAGAAGUAGCAAUACUUUGGUGGCGACCGGCGCACGGGUGAGUAACGCGUAUGCAACCUACCUAUCAGAGGGGAAUAACCCGGCGAAAGUCGGACUAAUACCGCAUAAAACAGGGGCACCGCAUGGUGAUAUUUGUUAAAGAAAUUCGCUGAUAGAUGGGCAUGCGUUCCAUUAGGUAGUUGGUGAGGUAACGGCUCACCAAGCCGACGAUGGAUAGGGGAACUGAGAGGUUGGUCCCCCACACUGGUACUGAGACACGGACCAGACUGCUACGGGAGGCAGCAGUGAGGAAUGUUGGUCAAUGGGCGGGAGCCUGAACCAGCCAAGUCGCGUGAAGGAAGAAGGAUCUAUGGUUCGUAAACUUCUUUUGCAGGGGAAUAAAGUGCAGGGCGUGUCCCGUUUUGUAUGUACCCUGAGAAUAAGGAUCGGCUAACUCCGUGCCAGCCGCCGCCGUAA